rnacentral:rRNA from 1 species
AGAGAUCAAAUUAUAUAUAUUAAGGUAAAAAGGCAGUUAAAUGUUAAGAAUAUUAAUAGUUUAUUGAUUUUUUAUAUAAAGGUAAAAUUUAUACAUAAAUUAAUAAUUCUAUAUAAACUAAUAAAAUUGAAUCUGCGACAGCCUAGAGGGAAACUGGGAUUAGAUACCCCAUUAUUCUUGGCCAUAAAUAAAUGAAAAUUUACCGGAGUACUAUGAAUCAUAUUAAAAUAAUUUAAAACUCAAAGAGCUUGGCGGUGUUUUAGACCUCUCAGGGGAACCUGUCUCUUAAUCGACAAUCCACGUUAGACCUAACCCUUUUUUGCAAACAGUUUGUAUACCAUCGUCGUCAGGUAACUUUUAAAAAAUUAGAAGUUGGCAACUAAAUAGUUAUGAAUUUAAACGUCAGAUCAAGGUGCAGCCCAUAUAAGGGUGAGGAUGGGUUACAAUUAAUAAUCAUAAAUACGGAUAUAAUAAUGAAAUACAUGUUAUAAGAAGGAGGACUUGAAAGUAAGAAAUUUUUUAUAUAAAUAAUCUGAAUUAGGCUCUGAAACAUGC